GUCCCAAAAAUCGUUUACGAAACGUUUGGAAUGCAAGGUCGCCCUUCCGCGAAUCAAUCGUCGUUGUCGACGUAUGGAAAUUCUAAAAUUAUUAUGGAACGUGACUAAAAAUAUCAAACAGGUUGAGGAGACGUUUGCUACAUUAUGGCACUUCGAUUAUUAUGGUUAUUAGUCCCGGGUUUCCCUCUCACGAUCGAGCGUCACGCGGCCGUUUAUCGCGUAUCGUUCGUCCCAAAAUCGUAUCAAGGUUUCGUAGUAAAUAAUUUAUUAUUUAAUAAUAAAUUAUGUCUUCAUGUAAUUACAAAUCCUUAAGAAAUUAAAAUAAUUGAAUUUAAUAAAGGAAUAUCAUAAGGAUUAAAUAUUAAAAUAUUUUUAGGGGCUUGAGGCCCCUCCAAAUAAUAUUUUUAAAAUGAAAAAGAAAAAUUUAGCUAUAAAAAUGUCUUUAUGAUUCUUUUACUCUUCGAUCUAUAAGAAAUCGUUAUUAUUACUGUUAUUGUUGACCUUCGACCUCGUUCAUUAAUCAAUUAAUGUUUAAUGAUCAGCGAUCAUGAGUCAUAGCACGAUGAUGCAUCGAUCGUGGUCUCUAUCGAUCAGGUUACGUUUUGCCUAAUUCUGCGCCGCACUAUAGUCCCUGGAGACCGUAGUUUGACUCGACCCUGCGUCCACCCCCCACCGUUCGCGAAGAAAAAUAGAAAUUCACUCGCUAUCGAGCUGCCAAGCGUUCAAGUUGUUCUAAGCGAUUCGUAAACAUCGAGAAGAAAGGAAAACCAACGGAAGGAGAGAGGAACGAAUCAAGGGCACGUUAUUGCGUUUGAUGGAAAAGAGGAGAAGGAAGGAGGCCGACUGGCUACGUACGAUCGAUCAAACGAACUGCUUGCAGAAUAUGUGCCCCGAGGGAAUCGAUCGCCGAGGAGGAAGAACAGGAAGAACCGACGCGCGUCUUUUCUGAAAUUUUGUACGACGAAUAUGAAGAAGAGAAAAGGGACGUCGACAAGUGGAAGGAACUCGUGAAACCUACGGAUAGACCUCGUCGCGUUUUAUCCUUGCUCGAAAGAUGGCGAGGGUGGCAGGUUAAGUUCGCUAUUGAGGAGUACAUAUUCUCUCGAAGAGUCAUUUCAUUCGUCUACGGCGUACCGCGACCCGAAUUCUGUCAGAAAACAAUUUGAUUAGAUUGGCUAGCAUUGCCCACGGCUAUAAAUAUAAUUCAGAACGUCCGUGGAUAUUUAUCUAGGCGGGUAAAUGCCACGCUAACUCGUAAACGCGAUUAAAACAAAAUGGAAGUCGCUACGUAACAGUUUUCGAU